AUUUAAAUUGCUCUGUUCUGUUUUCUGUGCCUUUUUUGUUCCUUUUGCUAGCUUCUGAAAAUAGCUUCAGAUGUUGAAGUGAUUCUCAGAACUUCCGUUAUUCAGGCAGUUCAUACAGAUUCUGACAAAAUAGUGCUCAUACCCAGGAAAGAUCUUCUACAAGACAACACUCCUUACUUAGAUAAACCA